rnacentral:rRNA from 1 species
CAGCCGUAAACUAUGCUCGCUAGGUGUCAGGGACGGUGCGACCGUUUCUGGUGCCGCAGGGAAGCCGUGAAGCGAGCCACCUGGGAAGUACGGUCGCAAGGCUGAAACUUAAAGGAAUUGGCGGGGGGAGGCACCACAACGGGUGGAGCCUGCGGUUUAAUUGGACUCAACGCCGGGAAGCUCACCGGAUAAGACAGCGGAAUGAUUGCCGGGCUGAAGACCCUGCAUGACCAGCUGAGAGGAGGUGCAUGGCGUAGUCGUGU